rnacentral:rRNA from 1 species
CCCUAGUAACGGCGAGUGAAGCGGGAAGAGCUCAAAUUUGGAAUCUGGUGUCUACGACAUCCGAAUUGUCAUCUCGAGAAGCAGAUUUUGGGUCAAGGGAAACGUGAGUCUGUUGGAACACAGCGUCAAAGAGGGUGACAACCCCGUUCGUCGUUUCUCAUUCUGAUCCUCUAGGAAUCGCUUUCGACGAGUCGAGUUGUUUGGGAAUGCAGCUCCAAGUGGGUGGUAAAUUCCAUCUAAAGCUAAAUAUUGGCGAGAGACCGAUAGCGAACAAGUACCGUGAGGGAAAGAUGAAAAGCACUUUGGAAAGAGAGUUAACAGACGUGAAAUUGUUGAAAGGGAAACGAUUAACGUCAGCCUCGCGUGUCUCCUUCAGCCUACGUUGGUGGGUGUAUUGGAGACGAGCGGGCCAGCGUCGGUGGAGUGGGCUGUAAAAGGCGGUGAGGAAUGUAGCAUCUUCGGGUGUGUUUAUAGCCUCACUGUGGAUGCAGACCGUUCCACCGAGGGACGCCCUUCCUCGCUAGUUUCGACUUGAGGACGGAUGGACGCUGGCAGAAUGGCGUUAAGCGACCCGU